AAAAAAAAAACAUGUCUGCAUUCUAAACCAGGAGGCUAUUUAUUUUAAAUAUUCUCCUAUUAUCUCUUCCUUUUAUGAAUUGUAAAACACAAACUAUUCCAGCAUUCUUCAAACAUUUCUAUUAAAUGUUUCAAAACGAGGCCUCAACAUUUUGGGAUGUGCAACUUUUCCCCACAAAGUUAUUAAAUAAAGAUUAAAAAAUGGUAAUCACAAACCUGCCUAUUUUCCAUAUCUUUCCACAAGGAUGAAAAAAAUAAUAAGGACAACAACUUUUUAUACAGCAGUCAAUAUGUUACUCUUCAAAGUGAUUUGUUUUAAAUUAGUUUUUUUAAAACAAGUCUUCUGCUUUUUGUGUAUCAAAGUGUUGACUCUUCAGUUGGCCAAGUUGCAAUUUCAGGCCACGCUCCUUUAUUUCUUAUAUUAAAACUUAAAAAUUACUUCAAAUAGUGUCUUAAUAGUUCAUUAAUAAUAAAUCUCUCUUUUGUGGCAUAUAGUCUAAAGGAAAUGGAGUGGGGUUUUUUUUCUUUGAAAUGGGCAAGGGUUCUAUCAAUAAAUUUACACUAUAGGACACAUUUAAAGAAUGUAUUUAUGAAUCCACAAUCACUUUUGUUUUUUCCAAAGGGGGAAAAAAAAGACAGGUUUUAAUUUUGUAGACAUUGCAGAAAUGGUUAAAGACUUGCUCUUGUUUUAUGCCAAAAAUCCUAUCAUAAAACAUAUCAAGUAUUUAUGAUGAAAACAUUUUAGAGUACUUAGUCCUAUUAGCAUUCAUAGUGUUUGUGUCUUGUUUUUUUGGUUGCAGUACAUUCUUCUCUUUUUUCCUUCAAAAUUACCCCUGUAAUAAUUUUAGCUAGGAUUGUUCAGAUCAUAACAGCUUUCUGUCUGAAAAAAAAAGAGAAACACUUGUUGUUAAUUGCGAAGUCGUGUCCGACCCAUCGCGACCCCAAGAACAACAUUCCUCCAGGCCUUCCUGUCCUCUACCAUCUUCUGGAGUCCAUUUAAGCUCACGCCUACUGCUUCAGUGACUUUCCUGCCAUCUGGGGCUUAUCUACUCAUUCCAUUUAUUCCUCCACUGCUCGAUUUAUAGGAUUUCAGAUAUCUGCUUAGGCAGCUAUUCUCUGGCAAUUUUGUAUAAUUUUCUUCUAUUCCUAAGCCCAACUGAAAAAUCGAUCCAACAACAUUUGCCUCACUGUCGGCAGGCCUGCCUUGUUCAGGAUGGCAACCUUGAAGCAGAUCGUGAUACGUGUAAACCUUUCUAACAGAUUGUCUACUUCCAAAGCCACAGGACACACAGUAUUGACAUAUCUGCCAAUUUUGAAAGGAUUUAUACAAUAUUUUCCCAACUUUCCUAUUAAAGACAAUGAAGAUGUAAGGAAUGCCACUUCCUUUCUUUAUUAUGGGGAAGAAGCUUUUGCUUUCUCUUCACAGUAAAGCAAGCCACGGGGUUCCUGCUGAGUUUCACAUAUGUAUCCCAGCAAAUCCAAUGGAGAAGAUUUUGAGUUGCUCAAACUGCUCUGAACUUGGUGAUGUUCCUUAUCAGCCUCUUUCCCAACCAAUGCAAUACCAUACAGAAGAUAUGGUAGCUUUCUUGUCCUUUCCUUUACAAAGGAAUACCUUACAUGCAUUUUGAUUGUGCAUGGAGAUAAGAAUGAUGUCAUCUAAAGUUCUGAAUGGGACCUAAGUCAUCUGUUCAGCCAUGAAGCUGCAAGACUGAUUCUAAAUUAAGCAGAAUCGGACAACUGCCUCAGAUGGCACAUCUGGAGAAGCUGCAGAAUAACAAACUGCAUUUCCUAAACCAGGGGUAGGCAACUUUGGCUCUUUUAUGACUUGUGGACUUCACUUUCCAGACUGAAUUCUUAUGGCUCUCUGUGUGAUUCUGUUUGUAAUGGUUAUGAAAUGUUAAAAUGCCCAAAUUCAUGUGGUCCAGUAUCAUGAAAACCGUUUUUGCUAAGUUACUAUCUAAUGCUGUUUGAAGCAACAAUAUAAAAAUCUUACAUCUCCUUCACAAAAAAGGAACCGAAGUAAAUGCAACUGCUCUUCCAUGCUUGUGUUCAGAACAUGUUAUAUGCUCUUUAAGAUUCUGUUAUUCUGCCUCAGAAGAAUAAAGUAGCAUUCCUGGG